rnacentral:rRNA from 1 species
UACAGAGGGGGCUAGCGUUAUUCGGAAUUACUGGGCGUAAAGGGCGCGUAGGUGGUUACUUAAGUCAGAUGUGAAAUCCCUGGGCUUAACCUAGGAAUUGCAUUUGAAACUGAGUAGCUAGAGUAUGGUAGAGGGAAGUGGAAUUUCCGGUGUAGCGGUGAAAUGCGUAGAUAUCGGAAGGAACACCAGUGGCGAAGGCGACUUCCUGGACCAUUACUGACACUGAGGCGCGAAAGCGUGGGGAGCGAACAGG